rnacentral:pre_miRNA from 1 species
AGCCUUCGGUAUUCGUGGUGAGAUUUCGUCAGACACUAGACCACAAGGGCUGGUGAGAAACUCCCAAUAUAAGCGAAGCA